GUCCCCUCGUAUUCUUUGGUAGCGAAUAGCUGUGAGCUAUAAAAAAAUUCAUGCAGUUUCAUAGGAGCUCACAAGCAACCAAUGAAAAACCAACACGUCGCCGCGUCCGAUUAACAAAAGAUUCCUUCCAAAAAUCAGGAGGUAGAGAAAUGAAAUGCUAGCAUCGAUCUCAGUCCGGUUUAGCCAUUCUUACAGAAAGCUGUGGUCGGUGUGAUUAGAAAACCUAUAGAAGCGAUUGUGAACAAAGGAAAGAAUUGUAAGCGAGCACGUGAAGUAGUCACUAAGUUGUAAAGGUCGUCGCUCGCAGUAUUCCGUUAGGAAAAUAUACUAUUUUCGGUUAUAUGAACGAUUAAAAAACCGUUAAUCAGAUUCCUUCAAACGAAGGUCGCCGGGUCGGGCUUAAGCCCUAGAACGCCCUCCGGCAAGAACACCGACACACCAACCGGAGAGAACUACAGGGGCGCAAUCCCGUCAUAUAAUAGCGCCCGGGUCCAACAUCGUGAAAUCCAACCUCGAAAUAGUUCCCGUGAUAUAGAUCGGUCUGAAACCCGUCCAUUUGUCAUCCGGACACUAGACCAGGAGCGAACAAGCAGUGAGAAGUAUUUCCCCGUUAUCGCUACCACCGGCGGAUAAUUUCCACUCCAGGUGAGACCAAAGCACACGAGGUGAUUUCCCAUCGACCCCAUCAAGCUGGUUGUCGUACAGUAUCACGGCCAAGUACGGUAAUUCAGGCCGAGAAAACCACCCGCUGCCAGCAUACACCUAGUGGGGUGGAAAAGCGUGCCAAGAAGCUUUUGGCGUUAAAUUCAUCGGGUCGCAUCGUACCGGUACGCAACGUCAUCGUCAGCAUCUUCCCAGCCGCCCGUUUCUUCGAUCGUAUGACGUCACACUGCAACCUAAGACCAGGUGAUGUACUAGAUUAAGAGUCUAAUAGGAAUAAAUGCCUUAUGCAAGAUCGAAG